rnacentral:lncRNA from 1 species
UUGCUCGGUUAGCUAGGAGUGAUUGAUAGGCGCUGCCUCCGCCUGUUUGGUUGAAAGUCAAAUACUACUUAACUUUACACGUGUAGAUGCGGCUUGAGUUUUGUUAGGUAGUGUUGGAGGGCGAAGAUGCAAUGAAUUUAGCCGAUUAAGCCGAUAUUAAUUAGCUCAGCUGUUCGCAUCCAUGAGGUGAUCCGCCACCAUGUAUAGGAACCAGGGACUCCAUGGACACAAUCGGAAACCUGCUCAAACUAAGCAGGCCGCCGGCUGGGGUGGAGCCGACCCAAACGUCAAGGUCUUCACCCCGGACAGCGUGACGACGCCGAACCAGGC